rnacentral:misc_RNA from 1 species
GAUGAAGAACGUAGCGAAAUGCGAUAAGUAAUGUGAAUUGCAGAAUUCAGUGAAUCAUCGAAUCUUUGAACGCGCAUUGCGCCCGUCAGUAUUCUGGCGGGCAUGCCUGUUCGAGCGUCAUUACGCCCCUCAAGUCCCCUGUGGACUUGGUGUUGGGGAUCGGCGAGGCUGGUUUUCCAGCACAGCCGUCCCUUAAAUUAAUUGGCGGUCUCGCCGUGGCCCUCCUCUGCGCCGUAGUAAAACACUCGCAACAGGAGCCCGGCGCGGUCCACUGCCGUAAAACCCCCCAACUUUUUAUAGUUGACCUCGAAUCAGGUAGGACUACCCGCUGAACUUAAGCAUAUCAAUAAGCGGAGGA